rnacentral:rRNA from 1 species
AUUGAACGCUGGCGGCAGGCCUAACACAUGCAAGUCGAGCGGAUGAAGGGAGCUUGCUCCUGGAUUCAGCGGCGGACGGGUGAGUAAUGCCUAGGAAUCUGCCCGGUAGUGGGGGAUAACGUCCGGAAACGGGCGCUAAUACCGCAUACGUCCUGAGGGAGAAAGUGGGGGAUCUUCGGACCUCACGCUAUCAGAUGAGCCUAGGUCGGAUUAGCUAGUUGGUGGGGUAAAGGCCUACCAAGGCGACGAUCCGUAACUGGUCUGAGAGGAUGAUCAGUCACACUGGAACUGAGACACGGUCCAGACUCCUACGGGAGGCAGCAGUGGGGAAUAUUGGACAAUGGGCGAAAGCCUGAUCCAGCCAUGCCGCGUGUGUGAAGAAGGUCUUCGGAUUGUAAAGCACUUUAAGUUGGGAGGAAGGGCAGUAAGUUAAUACCUUGCUGUUUUGACGUUACCAACAGAAUAAGCACCGCUAAUUCC